CCUACGGGUGGCAGCAGUGAGGAAUAUUGGUCAAUGGCCGUAAGGCUGAACCAGCCAAGUCGCGUGAAGGAAGAAGGACCUAUGGGUUGUAAACCUCUUUUAUAGGGGAAUAAAGGUAUCCACGUGUGGAUAUUUUCAUGUACCCUAUGAAAAAGCAUCGGCUAACUCCGUGCCAGCAGCCGCGGUAAUACGGAGGAUGCGAGCGUUAUCCGGAUUUAUUGGGUUUAAAGGGUGCGUAGGCGGGCUUGCAAGUCAGCGGUAAAAUUUCGGGGCUCAACCCCGUCCGGCCGUUGAAACUGGGGGCCUUGAGUGGGCGAGAAGAAGGCGGAAUGCGUGGUGUAGCGGUGAAAUGCAUAGAUAUCACGCAGAACCCCGAUUGCGAAGGCAGCAUUCCGGCGCCCUACUGACGCUGAGGCACGAAAGUGCGGGUAUCGAACAGGAUUAGAUACCCCAGUAGUC
rnacentral:rRNA from 1 species